rnacentral:rRNA from 1 species
GAUGAACGCUGGCGGCGUGCUUAACACAUGCAAGUCGAACGGUGAAGCAGGAGCUUGCUCCUGUGGAUCAGUGGCGAACGGGUGAGUAACACGUGAGCAAUCUGCCCUGGAUUCUGGGAUAAGCAUUGGAAACGACGUCUAAUACCGGAUACGAGGCGUGGGGGCAUCCCCAACGCCUGGAAAGAACUUCGGUCCAGGAUGAGCUCGCGGCCUAUCAGGUAGUUGGUGAGGUAACGGCUCACCAAGCCUACGACGGGUAGCCGGCCUGAGAGGGUGACCGGCCACACUGGGACUGAGACACGGCCCAGACUCCUACGGGAGGCAGCAGUGGGGAAUAUUGCACAAUGGGCGCAAGCCUGAUGCAGCAACGCCGCGUGAGGGACGACGGCCUUCGGGUUGUAAACCUCUUUUAGCAGGGAAGAAGCGAAAGUGACGGUACCUGCAGAAAAAGCACCGGCUAACUACGUGCCAGCCGCCGCGGUAACAC